rnacentral:rRNA from 1 species
CAGAGGUGGCAAGCGUUGUUCGGAAUUACUGGGCGUAAAGGGCGCGUAGGCGGCCAUCUAAGUCAGACGUGAAAUCCCCCGGCUUAACCUGGGAACUGCGUCUGAUACUGGACGGCUUGAGUAUGGGAGAGGGAUGUAGAAUUCCAGGUGUAGCGGUGAAAUGCGUAGAUAUCUGGAGGAAUACCGGUGGCGAAGGCGGCACCCUGGACCAUUACUGACGCUGAGGCGCGAAAGCUAGGGGAGCAAACGGGAUUAGAUACCCCGGUAGUCCUAGCCCUAAACGAUGAAUGCUUGGUGUGGCGGGUAUCGAUCCCUGCCGUGCCGAAGCUAACGCAUUAAGCAUUCCGCCUGGGGAGUACGGUCGCAAGGCUG